CGCUGCUGAGUCUCGCGGCGGGCCGCCGGGUGCACAUGUGUGUAUUCUCCGUGACAGUCUUGAAGUUGUGAGUAAUUAGAUUGUUUUUCGCUACGUUUAGGUUCCACCACCUCUUUGUUUUCGUGUACUUUCGUGCUCAUCGACGCGAAGGGAGCAUCCGGACUGAAGGCGACGCGAUUAUUCGUGAGAAAGAAAGGCAGUAGCGGCCUGCGACAUCGGCGUUUCUUUGUGACAGUGUGUUUACUAUGCCUACGACGGCCGUCAUUCGUGGCCAACGAGAAAACAUCUUCCAUUCGGCCUGACCAGUGAUGAAGUGGACUUUUUUUUUCGGUGGAAUCCAUCGUCAACAUCGUCCGGAAUCCAUCGUCAACAUCGUCCAUCCACUACGUAAACGAAAUGGCGUGCCCAGAGUACACGUCGUGACAGCGCUCCGCCUUCAAACCGAGGGCCUUUUGCAAGGCGGAUGGACGGCUCAUAUAAAAGUUAGUCAGCAUGAAGCAAUUGCAUGGGAACCGGCUGAUUGUCUUGGGCCUACACAUUGCUCAAAAGACAGGGAAGAUGUCUGAGCCGACAGGUAGAAAACAAGCAGAUGGCUACAGCGAUCAAUGAAGAAAUGGCUUCAUCUAUGAUGGCUCUCCUUAGGACAUUAGAAUGGAGCUACACAAAGGCAUCACCAGCCUCGCCUGUUCCCUGGAACAUUGGUUUGAAUAAGACUGUUCUUCAGUGUAGAACGACCACAAGACUUGUCACCACAUACAGGGCGUAGUGCAAGCUCUAAAUAUUGUACAGGUGGCUAGAAUAAAUGACCCUCCAUGCAGUCACUCUUCCUGUAUCUGUGGUAAAUGGACCAUUUCACGCAGGACACUCACACGUGAUUAUGUGUUUUCUUCAAAGUUGCUAUGCCAUGCAUUUGGAAACACAUUACCUAUUGUAUGCACACUGUACAUAACAUUUUUGUGUGCUAGCCUGACUGUAGACUUGCGAAACAAACAAUGAAGUGCAUGUGUACCCGCUUCAACAUGCUGUACUUCAACACCCUUAUAGCAAGGGCUAUUAUAUUGCUCAUUACACCCGAUAGCUGAAGGGGUAAUAUAUUCUCGAACACACCCUUACACCCCAUGGGUCGAAGGGUAAUAUGUUGUUCAAAGCACCCUCAAGGGAUAGGGUGUUAUUGGAAUAUAGAAUAACCAUCAUAAGGGUGUAAUUGCCUAUAAAACCCAGCUUUUUCUAGGGUGCUAGGGGGUUAGUUAUAGACACUCAAAAAAACCCUUAGGGGUGUAAAUUAUUUUACAGUG